rnacentral:rRNA from 1 species
CACGUAGGGGCCAAGCGUUGUCCGGAUUCAUUGGGCGUAAAGAGCUCGUAGGCGGUUCAGUUAGUCGGGUGUGAAAUCUCCGGGCUCAACCCGGAGGGGCCACCCGAUACUGCUGUGACUCGAGUCCGGUAGGGGAGUGGGGAAUUCCUGGUGUAGCGGUGAAAUGCGCAGAUAUCAGGAGGAACACCGGUGGCGAAGGCGGGUCUCUGGGCCGAUACUGACGCUGAGGAGCGAAAGCGUGGGGAGCGAACAGG